rnacentral:rRNA from 1 species
GACGAACGCUGGCGGCGCGCUUAAUACAUGCAAGUCGAACGGAAAGGCCUGCUUUCCCUUGUGGAUUGCGGGUACUCGAGUGGCGAACGGGUGAGUAACACGUGAGUGAUCUGCCCCCAACUUGGGUAUAAGCCUGGGAAACUGGGUCUAAUUCCCGAUAGGACUGCAGGGUGGUGCCUGUGGUGGAAAACGAUUUUCUAGUGGUUGGGGAUGAGCUCGCGGCCUAUCAGCUUGUUGGUGGGGUAAUGGCCUACCAAGGCGGCGACGGGUAGCCGGCCUGGGAGAGUGGACGGCCACAUUGGGACUGAGAUACGGCCCAGACUCCUACGGAAGGCAGCAGUGGGGAAUAGUGCACAAUGGGCGGAAGCCUGAUGCAGCGACGCCGCGUGGGGGAUGACGGCCUUCGGGUUGUAAACUCCUUUCGGCCGCGAGGAAGCCACCUGGUUGGAAGGGUGGUGACGGUAGUGGUAGAAGAAGCACCGGCUAACUACGUG